UCCAUCUUAACCAGGUGCGUUCGCGGCCCUCGAGGGUUCUCUCUCGGGUGGUAGGGGUAACACCCUCACGCGUCGCAUUUCUGAAUCCUUUUUUUACGAGCACCUUUCGUUCUCCUUCGGUGGGGCAACCUGCCGCUGGAACUUAACAAAACCUUUUUUUGCAUCUAGCAUUACCUGUUCUGAUACAAACAAUCGUUA
rnacentral:misc_RNA from 1 species